rnacentral:RNase_P_RNA from 1 species
AAGACAGGUCAGACUACCGCGCUAAGGCGAGGAAAGUCCGGACACUCAGCCCUGUUUUAUACAGGGUAAAGGUAGUGGGUAAUGCCCAUCCGUCGUAAGACGCGAGGUGCGAACAGAGACGCUCUGGUUCGAAAGAAACAGAGGUACUUUUCGUUAGAAAAGUAUAGCCACGAGGAACAUCAGUUCUUUUCGUGGGUGAAACGGCUAAAUCCUUACUGGGGUGCAAGGUCGUGUCCUUGGCACCGCACCAAGUUUACUCUUCAAUGAAUGAGAAUGGUGCGGUGUGAGGGAAGAACCGCAAGGAUCUCGAUAGUAAUAUCGAGGCAAGAGAAAUGGUAGUCAUCGUGAGCAAUCACGAUACAGAAUCCGGCUUAUCGACCUGUUUUGUAA